CCACACUUUGGCAGGACAUAUUAAAAUUGAAAUGAUACAGCAAAGAUUAGCAUGGUCCCUGUUGUGAUGAUAACAUACAAACUCAUGAAGCAUUCCAUAUUAAG